ensembl:lncRNA
CAUGCUCAUUUCAUGGGGACAAUGGAGUUGUUAGGGGAAAUACAAUAAUGUAUGCCUAGUGCUCAGUGUUGAGCCAGUCCCAUGGUGAAUGCUCAUAAAUAAAUUAUGUCGGUAAUAUUUAUUUCAGGGGAAAACUCUAUUUUCAAGUCAGAACACUAUUAAGUCAAAUGUUCCCCUGAUUUAAUUCCAGAUAGCACUAAAUAGCACUAAAUAACAAUAAUAACCAUAGUACCCAUAGUUUGGAGACUGCCCCAAGAGGUCUAGGGCUGUGCCUCCGAGCUUGCUUCUUGAUCAGGGCUCUUAUGCAGAAACAAUCCUGAGCACCUGCCUGACCUAUCCUUGCCAGGCUAGCUGCCUGGACCUUCCUGCUGCCUAGCCGGUCUAUAAGGCAGCUACAGGCGCUUUUGUCUUUCUUACCCUCUGCUGAGUGUAGACAGUAGCUUUACCUGCUACCCUGGGUCUCACCAUCUCUGCACCUGCAUUUCUCUGGCGGACACAGCCAUGGCCACGAAGAGGACACCCCAUGUAUCUCUAAACCCAGAGAUAACGUGGGCUUCCCCCCACCCAACAUAGGGCUUCCCUGUGUAGCUUUGGAACUUGUCCUGGAACUAGCUAUAGUAGACCAUCCUGGUCUCGAACUCCCAGAGAUCUGCCUGUCUUUGCCUCCCAAGUGCAGGGAUUAAAGGCGCGUGCCACCACCGCACGGCUGAGAUGAUGCGGGCUUCUAUACCUUUGCAGUGCAGUGAGUCUUCCUUUCUCAGAGGCCAGUUCUCAUGGGCCCCAACCAUUCUGGGGUCUCUUCCUGGGUCCCCAUAUCUCACCCCUCAUGAUCAGCUUGAAACAUCUAUAGAUGACAGUACCAAAGCUACCAUAAGUAUGCGCUGCUCUGACAAGCUAGGGGAACCCAAACGUCUCCAGAGGUGGCUGAGACCGUAGGCCUCUGACACCUGUCUUGUAGGGCAGGUGAUUGGUAUAACUUAGUACUACUACGCAUUUUGCUUGAUUGAUGGGACCAGAAUUUGAACCUAAGCUCCCGAACAAGUCCUCACCUGCCCACUGGCCCUGCUGUCCAAAUGUUCCUAAAGGAAGCUGAAUGUAGAGAAUGGUCAGGAGGGAAGGGAGGAGACAGGCUACCACGGUGAACUAGAUAGGAGAAUGUGCGACACAACUGCUGACCACUGGGAGAGGCAGUUCAGCUCUGAAACAACUGGUGUUUUUGCCGAAUUUCUACACCCCAAAUCACUGCAUUCAGGAAUGGGCAGGAAUGGGGUCUGCUGAGACCAAGACUCUGCUAGGCACUAAGGACAAGAUGGUGACCCUGGAGUUAAGAUUCCUGUCUGUGGGGAGCCAGAGAGAAAACAUGGUAAACAAGCCAAUUAUCUCCAUCUUUAGUAAUCACAGUGAGUGCCAAGAAAGAAACAAGUGCUGGAUGGGAAAUUCUGAGAGGCCACCUCCAUGUUUGAGGCAUGAAUGGGAGGACUGAUCUUGGCCCUUGAUCUAUUAUUGUCCUGGUGAAUACUACCUACUGUGCCUGAGGACCUUCAGCUGUCACAGAGGAAGGGGGAGGCCCAGUGUUCAUUUUGUGUGGGGCAAGCCAUGGAAAUAGUUGGAACAGCCCACUGGUUUGAUCCUACCACAGUUGGCCCCAACUGCUGCUGUGACCACAGGUAUCCGGAUCUGGAGGAGUGGCCGAGCCCAGGACCUCAGAGACUCACUGGGAACAAGGCAGCUCAGGAGCUUCCCACCACACGGUGUGUAUGGAGCCCUGCCAAGGGAACAAGGUUCGAGUCAGCCUGUUAGGUAAGGGCAAUCAGGAAGGGCUUUCCAGAGGAGGAGGCCUUUGUGCUACAUCCCAAAGGAUGUCCUGUUUCUAACGUAAAGGUGCUAGAAGAGAGGACUUCAGAUUUGCCUCCACUGAACUAACUGGGGCCUAAGUAUAUAUCAUGGAGGUCUUGAGCAGCAACCAUGCCUCAGAGGAUGCAGGUAAGGAGCGAUAUCCCC